GGCGUUUCUCAGGUGACACACCCCGGAAUCGGGCUCCCUCCUCUAUGGUUCUGGAUGCAUCACCCAAGAACCGCA
rfam:Myotis davidii contig55174, whole genome shotgun sequence.